UACAGAGGGGGCAAGCGUUAUUCGGAAUUAUUGGGCGUAAAGGGCGCGUAGGCGGCCUGGCAAGUGGAAGGUGAAAUCCCUCGGCUUAACCGAGGAACUGCCUCCCAAACUGCUUGGCUUGAGACCAGGAGAGGUGAGUGGAAUUCCCAGUGUAGCGGUGAAAUGCGUAGAUAUUGGGAGGAACACCAGUGGCGAAGGCGAGUCCCUGGACAACUCCUGACACUGAGGCACGAAAGCUAGGGGAGCAAACAGG
rnacentral:rRNA from 1 species